GGAGGAAACCUAGCAAGAAGCUUAAUCAGAGGUUUUGAGCAACCGUAGCUCUGACCUCAAGAUGGCAGUGUUUGCAUUGGCCCUGCUGUAAGGAUGAUUGUACAUAGGAUAGCAAAAUCUGGUCUCUGAUUGACUGGGCAUGUGUUCUCUGAUUGGUUGGGCAUACACCCUGAGAAUCCUUUUGUUCAAUGCUAAAAACUAGCUGUUGAGUAGACAAGCCUGCUUUUGGGGGCAGCCCUGUGCAGAAGAAGAAUGGAGCAGCAUCUGAGGACCUCCUUGGUGGUUUUGUGGCUUCAAUUUUGUUGGGUGAGUGGCAAAAACCAAGUGGAACAGAGUCCUCCAUCCCUGACCAUCCUGGAGGGAGAGAACUGCACGUUUCAAUGCAAUUAUACAGUGAGCCCUUUUAACAACUUAAGGUGGUACAAGUGGGACACUGGGAGAGGUCCUGUUUCUCUGAUAAUCAUGUCUUCCAGUGAGAGAAGAAGGUCAAAUGGAAGGUACACAGCGACUCUGGAUACAGCUAACAAGGGCAGCUCCCUGCACAUCACAGCCGCCCAGCUCAGCGAUGCAGCCGUCUACAUCUGCGUGGUGGGCGCACUGUGCUCCCCAGGCACUUGCAGCCUGUACCCAAACCUGCAUCUGGAGGUUGUCAAGGAGGCUUAGGAGGUGAAGCAGGAGCAUUAUUUUUUUUUUUAAGUUGUAUGUAAUUUCACAAAUGAGCUAGUAUGUCUCUCUUAAACAUGAUUGAGUUUGAACUUGAGCCUAUGGCUAUAUAGCAUAAAGAUAUCCUCACUCAAAAUAUAAAGUGAACUGAUACAUCUGGCUAUUCCCAAGGGUAAGACUGUCAUGUUGCUUUACUGCUGCUGAGUAGAUGAUAAUUUUGGUUCAAAGGGAGAGAUUAGCUCUGUCUGGGGUCCAGCCACCAGUAGAAUGUUGACUAAGGGGAAAAACAACAAGCUGAUGGGCCUUAUGACCAUACCUGAUAAGUUUUUCUUCCUUCUGAAAGGUUUUUAGUCCUCAUUUAAUGGCUAUUCAAAUUCUGAGAAAACGUUCUGUGAGGAGAGAUCAGCGUUACCAAUUUAUUCACGCUGCACGUCAAGGCAUCUUUCUGAUGUUGUAUCAAGUUAUUUAUUGCCUUCCAUGACUGCGUCUUUGGAGAACAUCACCACUCAGACAGUUAUGUCAGCAUGGCACUGGCAGGCACAGUCCCUCUGAGGCAGCAGGAUAUUGGUCACAGGCUCUUCAACUAUAAGAACUCUAGGAAAGAGACUUAGAGGACAGAAUGCCUACAUGCUAUUUCUAAUCUUAGGUUGCACAAAUUAGCUCUGAUGUUCUUUUCUGGGGCGCUUACAGAAAUUUAAAUAUGUUUUGAGAAUUAGAUGAGAUGAAUGUCUAUUUGAAAGGCAGACUGAGAAACACAGGAAGGAUAUGUCCAAAGGUAUGAAAAAUGGUCAUCUCUGGGUGAUAAGAAUAUGAUAUUUUUACUUUUGUAUCUUUAUUUCUCUGUAUUUCUAAA